rnacentral:lncRNA from 7 species
GUGCGUGUGUGUUUCCUGGAGAAGAAAUUGUCUUUCUCUCUCUCCCACUGAUGGUCACGUGACAUUGUUUCAUUGGCUCGCAGUUCGCUGUUCUGUGUUCUUGCCUACACUAGAUCCAGUCUAUUGCACAGGAUGUGGCUACGCCCCUAUGUUCUUUGUGUGGUCCUAGAAUCAAAUCCACGAUUAAAUAUGUGUUAAUUUUUAAGUUAGGCGUCCGAUUAUUCUAUCUUCAGUUGCGUUAGCUUUGUAAUAAUGUCGUGUACACGUUAACAAUAUUAUUUUUAUUGUAGCACAUGUUUUAGUUAAUUAAUUAUUUAUUUAUCCGAUGGUUAUUAAAAUAUAAAUUUAAUUAUAACUAAUGUAUAGUACCAACUCAAAUAUUUUGAUUCGAUACUCGUCUAGUGUAAUCACGACAUGCGUUUAAUCGUUCUCGUAUGUCACGUCGUUCGCGCGUGUCGCGCGUUGUCGCAUGCUAAUUCGCACUUAGUUCGUGCGUGUCGCGCGCACUGUUUGCGCGUACCUCGCGUGUCGAUUAUGUGGGUCGCACGGCGUCUACGCGUGAUAAUAAAUUGUUUUGUCUUAUAAACACUCAUGUUAAUAAGUUAAUUCGU